GGGGUGGUAGCUUAAUGGCAAAGCGCCGGCGCGGUCUGUGGCCUGAGGAGGAAGGACCGUCCCUCAGUUUUCUGCCUUGAGCAGCCAGGGGAGAGUGCCCGGAGCUCAACUGGGCUCCGGUUUAACUGAGUACCCGCGCCACUUACCGAUCAUUGGCUGAGCACCCCCGGGUGCUGGGAGAUGCGGGUUCGACUCCCGCCAGCUCCA
rnacentral:tRNA from 1 species